rnacentral:rRNA from 1 species
UACGUAGGUGGCAAGCGUUGUCCGGAUUUACUGGGCGUAAAGGGCGCGUAGGCGGCGCAGCAAGUCACUUGUGAAAUCUCCGGGCUUAACUCGGAACGGUCAAGUGAUACUGUUGUGCUAGAGUGCGGAAGGGGCAACUGGAAUUCUCGGUGUAGCGGUGAAAUGCGUAGAUAUCGAGAGGAACACCUGCGGCGAAGGCGGGUCUCUGGGCCGUAACUGACGCUGAGGAGCGAAAGCGUGGGGAGCGAACAGG